UGGGGAAUAUUGCGCAAUGGGGGAAACCCUGACGCAGCAACGCCGCGUGAUCGAAGAAGGUCUUCGGAUUGUAAAGAUCUUUUAUCAGGGACGAAAAAAUGACGGUACCUGACUAAGAAGCCCCGGCUAACUACGUGCCAGCAGCCGCGGUAAUACGUAGGGGCAAGCGUUAUCCGGAUUUACUGGGUGUAAAGGGAGCGCAGGCGGUGCGGCAAGUCUGAUGUGAAAGCCCGGGGCUCAACCCCGGGACUGCAUUGGAAACUGUCGUACUUGAGUAUCGGAGAGGUAAGUGGAAUUCCUAGUGUAGCGGUGAAAUGCGUAGAUAUUAGGAGGAACACCAGUGGCGAAGGCGGCUUACUGGACGAUAACUGACGCUGAGGCUCGAAAGCGUGGGGAGCAAACAGGAUUAGAUACCCUGGUAGU
rnacentral:rRNA from 1 species